AUCUAAAUAGUUUAAGUAAAAUGUUGGUUUGUGGUGCCGACGAUAUAAUUUUUUAUUUUGGAUU
rnacentral:tRNA from 1 species